GAGAAGACCAUCGUCAGUGAAAAUAUUAAUGAACUCCAAAUUAUGACGCUUUCCAACUUCAUAAUCGUUAGGAUCAUGAGCUGGAGUGAUUUUAACAGCACCGGUACCAAAUUCCAUAUCAACGAUUAUGUCGUCACAGAUGAUAGGAAUUGAACGGUUACAGAAGGGAUGUUUUACAAAUUUACCGUGUAGGUGCUUAUAACGAGGAUCCUGGGGAUGAACAGCAACAGCAGUAUCUCCGAGAAGUGUUUCUGGACGUGUAGUAGCAAUAACAAUUCGUUCGUCAGAACCUUCAACGGCAUAAGCGAUGGAAGUCAAUACACCCACUUCGACGGGUUCAUCAUAUCCAGGGACCUUGAGCAAAGUACGGCCAGGAACGUCAACGUUUUCUACCUCAAGGUUUGAUAAAGUUGUUUGUAAAGCAGUACACCAAUUCACGAGACGAUUAGCACGGUAGAUAAUAUUUUCCUCAUGCAAACGAACAAAGGU